CCCUUAGAUGUCCUGGGCCGCACGCGUGCUACACUGACACUUGCAACGAGUACUUCGCUUUACCGAAAGGUAAUGCUAAUCAUCAAUAAGUGUCGUGAUGGGGAUAGAUCUUUGGAAUUAUGGAUCUUGAACGAGGAAUGCCUAGUAAGCGUAGGUCAUUAGCCUACGCUGAUUAAGUCCCUGCCCUUUGUACACACCGCCCGUCGCUCCUACCGAUUUCGAGUGGUCCGGUGAAACUUUUGGACCGUGCGACUUUAUUGUUGUCACGGAAAGUCAGUUAAACCAUACUACUUAGAGGAAGGAGAAGUCGUAACA
rnacentral:rRNA from 1 species